GUUGCAGAAAAUAAUAGGUGAUUUGCAUUGGAUAGAGGUGAACUGAAUUUCUACCCUGUCAGAGUUGGUUGUCAUGAAUGAUUCAGAUUUAUGUACCACCUUUAUUAACCAUUUUGUUUCAUUUUCAAGCUAAGGUUCAGUUUUCAAAUUAUCUAAUUUAUGAAUGGCUAAAUUAAUUCUUCAUCAUCAGCAGAGUAGGUGUUCAUGAAUAAUGUAAAUUUUAUGCAGAGAACUUGCGGGUCUGCUGCUAGAGGACAGAGGGGAAUCUGGACUGAAAGGAAAAAUGGGUUUAUAUAAAAUAAUAUAUAAACCCAUACACAGUGAGACAAGUUAAGUUUUUAGUUCUUUUUGUAGCUUCUGGUAGAUUUUGGUUUUUUAACCAGAUGAUGGACCUGUUGUUAGGGGCAAAUAAUAAUGCAUAUAAAUACGCCAUAGAUUGUCAGUGAUACCAGUGAAGGUGGAGAUACUAAAAGCUCACUGUUUGGAUGCUCACUAAGCACAUGACCAUGCCACUGAGGAGUUUUUGAUCUUUCCGGCACUCCUGCUGCUGUAGGUGGUGAUGGUGGGAGGGCUAAAUUUUGAGGAUGUUUGUUCUGUCCAACACUUUCAUGCUAUGGCUGUAAUGACCAGUGAAGCCUCUGGGGCUGUCCCCACUUUAAUCUGUCCUGGUUAGUUUAAUACUUUUCAGCAGUUUUUUGUUUGAACAAAGGAUCAAAAAGAAAGGCAGUGUUUUGUACUCUAGAGGAAAGAACUGAAAAAUAAAAUGCUGACAUGGUCUUCAGUAAUUUCUCCUUCAAGUUUUUUUUUUUUUUUUUAAUUUCCCCUUGACUUUAUCUCGACUGACCUGAGCUACUCUUUCAUGCCCAGUGGUGCCAGAUUGGUCAACAUACUUUCUUUUCUUGUGUUUCCCUCUUUCUUCUUACCUUUUCAGUACACUUAGGAAUUUGUGAAUGAAUUAUUGAUUCAUCUACAAAUGAAUCAAUAAUCCAUUUGCCGCUUAAGUGACAAAAUGUUAAACUGAAAAAUCAUAAAUUGCAUCUAAAAACAGGCUGUGAUGCCAUGCUUUGGUCAAUAGAGUCCCAUUGUUAUCCUUCCAUCACCACCAUAUUGGUUUUUUGAAACUGGAUGUGAUAAGUGAGGGGUGGGAACAGUUAAAGUUUGCUGCAACCACACACAACUUUGUGACUUGUCACAAGUUAGACCCUAAAGCAUGUUUUACACUAAUGUUUGAUUCUAAUGUUGGUCAUAAUUUACUUAAUUCAUAUAACUUUUAUUAAAUAAGAAUCAAAACUAUUAUUUUGUUUGUUUUUAUGAUUUAUUAUUGUGUUUUUGUGUCCACACAAACAGGAUUCUUAGGAAAAAAAACCCAUUUUACUAGCAGCUUCUUGCAAAGAACAUUGUCAAUCACAUAAGAACUGAAUUGGAAAAUAGUGGUAACAUGUCUUGGAAUGAAUUCAUAUUUGACAUUUUUGCCUUUUUUUAUCUACAGAGAAUGUCAGGAGAGAUGUAAGAGUAUACAGCUAUGUAGAAAUCAUGGUGGAGGCUCUGUCAUGGUUUGGCACCUGAUUGGCAGCAGCUUAAUUUUUCAACAUG
ensembl:lncRNA